CUGGACUGCAGGUUGUGAAGACCAUGGGAAAAGCACAGUAUCCGGGCUGGAGUGCACCAUUCCUCACGGCACAGUCCCUCACAGCUUCCCUUGGAUAGGGGUGGGAAUUCCUCGACCCCUUGGGCUUCAUGGGUGAGGCAAUGCCCCACCCUGCUUUGACUUGCACUUCCAUGGGCUGCACCCACUGUCCAACCAGUCCCAAUGAGAUGAACCAGGUACCUCAGUUGGAAAUGCAGAAAUCACCCGCCUUCUGCAUCGAUCUCGCUGGGAGCUACAGACCGGAGGCAUGUACUGAUCUGACUUGUUUGAGUUUUAUUGGCACUUAAAACCGUGAGAAGAUAACUGAUUCAUGACAGCAGAAUUUCAGAAUGGAGAAGAUCAGGGAAAGUCUGAAUGAAGGCCAGCAGGCAGUAUCAGCCGAACCAAGAAGGGCCAUAAAGCUGCAGACCAGGAAAUCUGCCCUCUGAGAGCACAGAAUUUAGAAUGGACAGCAAAUUUAGUAAAAGUAGGUGUUCCAGCUAGAAGAUUUGGAUGAAAAGUGAUUCCAAAAAAAUGAGGCAAUCUCAUCCCGAAACUAUUUAAAACUACUCUCCUCUCUCUUGAUAAACCGUCAGUAGGAAGUGUGUCGUUUAUUCCCUCACUCCACACUGGAUUCAUAUGGGCUGAUAGCAGCAGGAUUAAAAAUUUUUUUCAUCAUGAGUUAAAUCCCUAAGAUUUAGAGUAUUUUGUUUGUCUGAAUGUCUAAGCGGUACAAACCUUAGCAAUCCAUAUUAAAAUGGAGAAUUCCUUCUUUUGGUAUUCACAAGCAUAACAUACAUAAUCCUUUAUCUCUGGCAAAGCUAUUCACUUUUUGGCCUUUGGCUGUUCG
rnacentral:lncRNA from 10 species